rnacentral:rRNA from 1 species
AGGACGAACGCUGGCGGCGUGCUAACACGAUGCAAGUCGAGCGGGACAUGCGACGGAGUCAAAGUUUCGGAUGGAGACGAAGAUGUAUGUUCUAGCGGCGGACGGGUGAGUAACGCGUGAGCAACCUGUCCUUCACAGGGGGAUAACACAGCGAAAGUUGUACUAAUACCGCAUGAGACCACAGCGGGACAUCCCGCAGGGGUCAAAGGAGCAAUCCGGUGAAGGGUGGGCUCGCGUCCGAUUAGAUAGUUGGUGAGGUAACGGCCCACCAAGUCGACGAUCGGUAGCCGACCUGAGAGGGUGAUCGGCCACAUUGGGGCUGAGACACGGCCCAAACUCCUACGGGAGGCAGCAGUGGGGAAUAUUGGGCAAAUGGGGGAAACCCCGACCCAGCAACGCCGCGUGAGGGAAGAAGGUUUUCGGAUCGUAAACCUCUGUCCUUGGUGAAGAGGAAGAGACGGUAGCCAAGGAGGAAGCCCCGGCUAACUACGUGCCAGCCGCUGC